GAGGGGAUAGCCCAGUGGUAGAGCACAUGCUUAGUAUGCACGAGGUCCUGGGUUCAAUCCCCAGUACCUCCA
rnacentral:tRNA from 1 species